GCUAUACAUGCAGUCGAGCGAACAGACAAGGAGCUUGCUCCUUUGACGUUAGCGGCGGACGGGUGAGUAACACGUGGGUAACCUACCUAUAAGACUGGGAUAACUUCGGGAAACCGGAGCUAAUACCGGAUAAUAUUUCGAACCGCAUGGUUCGAUAGUGAAAGAUGGUUUUGCUAUCACUUAUAGAUGGACCCGCGCCGUAUUAGCUAGUUGGUAAGGUAACGGCUUACCAAGGCGACGAUACGUAGCCGACCUGAGAGGGUGAUCGGCCACACUGGAACUGAGACACGGUCCAGACUCCUACGGGAGGCAGCAGUAGGGAAUCUUCCGCAAUGGGCGAAAGCCUGACGGAGCAACGCCGCGUGAGUGAUGAAGGUCUUCGGAUCGUAAAACUCUGUUAUUAGGGAAGAACAUACGUGUAAGUAACUGUGCACGUCUUGACGGUACCUAAUCAGAAAGCCACGGCUAACUACGUGCCAGCAGCCGCGGUAAUACGUAGGUGGCAAGCGUUAUCCGGAAUUAUUGGGCGUAAAGCGCGCGUAGGCGGUUUUUUAAGUCUGAUGUGAAAGCCCACGGCUCAACCGUGGAGGGUCAUUGGAAACUGGAAAACUUGAGUGCAGAAGAGGAAAGUGGAAUUCCAUGUGUAGCGGUGAAAUGCGCAGAGAUAUGGAGGAACACCAGUGGCGAAGGCGACUUUCUGGUCUGUAACUGACGCUGAUGUGCGAAAGCGUGGGGAUCAAACAGGAUUAGAUACCCUGGUAGUCCACGCCGUAAACGAUGAGUGCUAAGUGUUAGGGGG
rnacentral:rRNA from 1 species